rnacentral:tRNA from 1 species
GUUUAAAUAGUUUAAUAAAAAUAUUGAUUUGUGGUAUCAAUGAUAAGAGAUUUUCUUUUUAAAUC